rnacentral:rRNA from 1 species
UACGUAGGGUGCAAGCGUUAAUCGGAAUUACUGGGCGUAAAGCGUGCGCAGGCGGUUGUGCAAGACAGAUGUGAAAUCCCCGGGCUCAACCUGGGAAUGGCAUUUGUGACUGCACGGCUAGAGUGUGUCAGAGGGGGGUAGAAUUCCACGUGUAGCAGUGAAAUGCGUAGAUAUGUGGAGGAAUACCGAUGGCGAAGGCAGCCCCCUGGGAUAACACUGACGCUCAUGCACGAAAGCGUGGGGAGCAAACAGGAUUAGAUACCCUGGUAGUCCACGCCCUAAACGAUGUCAACUAGUUGUCGGGUCUUAAUUGACUUGGUAACGCAGCUAACGCGUGAAGUUGACCGCCUGGGGAGUACGGUCGCAAGAUUAAA